rnacentral:lncRNA from 1 species
CUAGUUCUCUCCUCUUAAAAACUCUUAAAAACUCAAGAUAAUCGCGUCUGGUACCAACCAGAGUAGUUUAUACCAACUAAAACACUUCAAAUUUCAAAAAUUACAAAAAAAGUCAACAACUGCAGUCGAUGACGCGCGCGGCUGCGCGCGAUCCCUUUGUAAACAUGGCGCGGGCGCGCGUGUGUGCGAAAUUAGUUCUUUCCAGUUGAUGGCGCAGGCGCACGUC